rnacentral:rRNA from 1 species
AGUGAACGCUGGCGGCGGGCCUAAUACAUGCAAGUCGAAGGAAGAGGCGCACGGGUGAGUAAUAUAUAGCUAAUUGGCCCCUGGCUGGAGGACAACAGUUAGAAAUGACUGCUAAUACGCCAUAGCAUGGGAUGGGACUAUAUCGGAUCAGCUAGUCGGUGGGGUAACGGCCUACCGAGGCUAUGACGCGUAACUGGUCUGAUAGGAUGAUCAGUCAAAUUGGAACUGAGACACGGUACAUACUCAUACGGAAGUCAGCAGUAGGGACAUUUGCGCAAUGGGCGAAACCCUGACGAAGCUACGCCGCGUGGAGGACGACACUUUUCGGAGCGUAAACUCCUUUUGUUAGUGAAGCGGUACCUACAGAAUAAGCACCGGCUAACUCCGUGCCAGCAGCCGCGGUAAUAC